CACGUAGGGGGCAAGCGUUGUCCGGAUUCAUUGGGCGUAAAGAGCUCGUAGGCGGCUCAGUAAGUCGGGUGUGAAACCCUCAGGCUCAACCUGGGGACGCCACUCGAUACUGCUGUGGCUAGAGUCCAGUAGGGGAGUGUGGAAUUCCCGGUGUAGCGGUGAAAUGCGCAGAUAUCGGGAGGAACACCAGAGGCGAAGGCGACUUCCUGGACAAUUGCUGACACUCAGGCACGAAAGCGUGGGUAGCCAAAGGG
rnacentral:rRNA from 1 species